GGAUUAGAUACCCUGGUAGUCCACGCCCUAAACGAUGUAUGCUUGGUGUUAGAGUUUACUCUAGUGCCGUAGGAAAUCCGUUAAGCAUACCACCUGGGGAGUACGAUCGCAAGGUUGAAACUCAAAGGAAUUGACGGGGGCCCGCACAAGCGGUGGAUCAUGUGGUUUAAUUCGAUGCAACGCGAAGAACCUUACCCGGGCUUGAACUAUACUUGACAGAUGCCGAAAGGUAUCCUCCUUCGGGCAAGUGUAGAGGUGCUGCAUGGCUGUCGUCAGCUCGUGCCG
rnacentral:rRNA from 1 species